UUUACACAUGCAAGCCGAACGGAAACGAAAAUAGCUUGCUAUUUGGCGUCGAGUGGCGAACGGGUGAGUAACGCGUAGGAAUCUACCCAGUAGAGGGGGAUAGCCCGAAGAAAUUCGGAUUAAUACCGCAUAAUCUCUACGGAGUAAAGAAGGCCUCUUUACAAUGCUUUUACUAUUGGAUGAGCCUGCGUUAGAUUAGUUAGUUGGUAGGGUAAAAGCCUACCAAGGCGACGAUCUAUAGCUGGUUUUACGAGAAUGAUCAGCCACACUGGAACUGAGACACGGUCCAGACUCCUACGGGAGGCAGCAGUGAAGAAUAUUGGACAAUGGGGGAAACCCUGAUCCAGCAAUGUUGCGUGUGUGAAGAAAGUCCGAGGAUUGUAAAGCACUUUCAGUAAGCAAGAAAAAUGUAAAUCUAAUAGAUUUGCAUGUUGACCACUUAUAGAAGAAGCACCGGCUAACUCCGUGCCAGCAGCCGCGGUAAUACGGAGGGUGCGAGCGUAAAUCGGAAUU
rnacentral:rRNA from 1 species